UAGGGAAUCUUCCACAAUGGACGCAAGUCUGAUGGAGCAACGCCGCGUGAGUGAAGAAGGUUUUCGGACCGUAAAGCUCUGUUGUUGGUGAAGAAGGAUAGAGGUAGUAACUGGCCUUUAUUUGACGGUAAUCAACCAGAAAGUCACGGCUAACUACGUGCCAGCAGCCGCGGUAAUACGUAGGUGGCAAGCGUUGUCCGGAUUUAUUGGGCGUAAAGCGAGCGCAGGCGGAAGAAUAAGUCUGAUGUGAAAGCCCUCGGCUUAACCGAGGAAUUGCAUCGGAAACUGUUUUCUUGAGUGCAGAAGAGGAGAGUAGAACUCCAUGUGUAGCGGUGGAAUGCGUAGAUAUAUGGAAGAAUACCAGUGGCGAAGGCGGCUCUCUGGUCUGCAACUGACGCUGGGGCUCGAAAGCAUGGGUAGCGAACAGGA
rnacentral:rRNA from 1 species